rnacentral:rRNA from 1 species
UCUUUUUGUGUCCUGUAAAAAGUAUAGCCUGCCCGCUGAUUUAAUUUGAAGGGCCGCGGUAUUAUGACCGUGCUAAGGUAGCAUAAUCAUUAGUCUCUUAAUUAGAGAAUGGAAUGAAUGGCUUAACCUAGAAAUUUUUUAUUAAUUUAUAAAAAUUUUGAAUUUUAAAUUAAAGUGAAAAUGCUUUUAUUUUCCUAAAAGACGAUAAGACCCUAUAGAGCUUAAUCUAACUUAAUUUAAUUGUUUUAGGGGGGAAAACAAUUAAAUUAAGUUAGAUUUAGUUGGGGCAACUUGAGAAUAAAAAAAACUUCUUAAAAUUUAUCUUAAACUUUAAAAGUUAAAAAGUUACCUUAGGGAUAACAGCGUUAUAGUUUUUGAGAGUUCUAAUCGAUAAAACUGUUUGCGACCUCGAUGUUGAAUUAAAAAAUCUUUUAGGGGCAGAAUUUUAAAAAGAUAGUCUGUUCGACUAUGCAAAUUUU